UAUUUUAAUGGCCGCGGUAUUUUGACCGUGCAAAGGUAGCAUAAUAAUUAGUUCAUUAAUUGUGGACUUGUAUGAAUGGUUUGACGAGAUAUUUACUGUCUCAUAUUUAUUAUUAUAAUUUGAAUUUUGAGUUAAAAUGCUUAAAUUUUAUUAUAGGACGAGAAGACCCUAUAGAUCUUUAUUUUACUUAUUUUUAAUUUAUUUUUGAUUAUUUUUUGUUAAUAAUAUUUAUUGUUUGGUUGGGGUGACAAUUAGAUAUAAUUAACUCUUUUUUAUUUAUUCAAUUAUUUUUGUUUAUAUGACUUUUUAUUAUUGUUAUAAGAUUUAGAUACCUUAGGGAUAACAGCGUAAUUUUUUUUGAGAGUUCAUAUCGACAAUGAAGAUUGCGACCUCGAUGUUGGAUUAAGAUAAGUUUUUGGUGUAGAUGCUAUUGUAAACUAAGUCUGUUCGACUUUUAAAUUCUUACAUGAUCUGAGUUC
rnacentral:rRNA from 1 species